rnacentral:rRNA from 1 species
UACGAAGGGGGCGAGCGUUGUUCGGAUUUACUGGGCGUAAAGGGCGCGCAGGCGGCUUAUUUUGUCAGGCGUGAAAGCCCCGGGCUUAACCUGGGAACUGCGUUUGAUACGGAUGGGCUAGAGUUCGGGAGAGGAGCGUGGAAUUCCCAGUUGUAGAGGUGAAAUUCGUAGAUAUUGGGAAGAACACCGGUGGCGAAGGCGGCGCUCUGGACCGAGACUGACGCUGAGGCGCGAAAAGCGUGGGG